UCAGGUGUAGCGGUGAAAUGCGUAGAGCAUCUGGUAGGAAUACCGGUGCGAAGGCGGCCUCCUGGACGAAGACUGACGCUCAGGUGCGAGAGCGUGCGGAGCAAACAGGAUUAGAUACCCUGGUAGUCCACGCCGUAACGAUGUCGACUUGGAGGUUGUGCCCUUGAGGCGUGGCUUCUGGAGCUAACGCGUUAAGUCGACCGGUGGGGAGUACGGCCGCAAGGUUAAAACUCAAAUGAAUUGACGGGGGCCCGCACAAGCGGUGGAGCAUGUGGUUUAAUUCGAUGCAACGCGAAGAACCUUACCUGGUCUUGACAUCCACGGAAGUUUUCAGAGAUGAGAAUGUGCCUUCGGGAACCGUGAGACAGGUGCUGCAUGGCUGUCGUCAGCUCGUGUUGUGAAAUGUUGGGUUAAGUCCCGCAACGAGCGCAACCCUUAUCCUUCGUUGCCAGCGGUCCGGCCGGGAACUCAAAGGAGACUGCCAGUGAUAAACUGGAGGAAGGUGGGGAUGACGUCAAGUCAUCAUGGCCCUUACGACCAGGGCUACACACGUGCUACAAUGGCGCAUACAAAGAGAAGCGACCUCGCGAGAGCAAGCGGACCUCAUAAAGUGCGUCGUAGUCCGGAUUGGAGUCUGCAACUCGACUCCAUGAAGUCGGAAUCGCUAGUAAUCGUGGAUCAGAAUGCCACGGUGAAUACGUUCCCGGGCCUUGUACACACCGCCCGUCACACCAUGGGAGUGGGUUGCAAAAGAAGUAGGUAGCUUAACCUUCGGGAGGGCGCUUACCACUUUGUGAUUCAUGACUGGGGUGAAGUCGUAACAAGGUAACCA
rnacentral:rRNA from 1 species